AAAUAAUAGAUGAAAACAAAUUUCGUGUUUAUGGCUACGCCACUGAACUUGAAUACAUACUUUGCGUGAUUUUUAGAGAUAAUUAUGCGUUUGUUAGGUUAUCAAACUUGUGUUGAGGAUAUCGAAAGAAGGCUUUACUUGACAAAAUAAAUCGAUGAAGGCGGCAUACCUCCAUGGCAAACAUAUUAAUUGCUACAUGUGGCGAUUGUGAAAGUAUUGAAUUAAAAGUGAACAACAGGCGACGGCCAAUCUGUUUAGGGGAAACAUUAUAUGAACAAAUGAUUCAAAGCUCGAACUUGUGUGAUGUCACAUUGGAAUUAUGCGGAGUGGUUCGUCGAGCUCAUUGGUGCGUGCUAGUCAACUAUCCGUUCUUCGAGGCUAUGUAUCGUGCCGGUUUAAAAGAGACACGGGAAGCGCCAGAUUCGGGCUCACUGGUGUGUCAUUGCCCAAAGCCCGUACUUCAGAAGUCAGUGGUCACUAAACGAAAAAAGACCAGAUAACGUGAAAGUUGACAAAUGCGACACGGAAGCAGUCCUGACAGCGAUUAAGUUUUUGUACACUGGGAAGAUCGGUCAUCAAGAUCUGGACCGCAUGGUCAGAGGUGUCAUCCAAGUGGCCAGGGUGUGUCAGAUUGAGAAGCUGACCGAACUGUGUGAACGCUACACUGAAGAGAUCGAUGUUUGCGUGCACAAUUGUAUCGACCUACUGGACAUUGAAUUGUCUUGCAAACUUAGCUCAUAUAACCAUAUAGUGACGUUUAUACUAGGAAAUCUCAUGAACGUGAUCGACAUUCCUAACAACUCUAAUAAUAUAAACAAUGAAAUGAUGCACUUGAUAGUCACAAAAGCUGUGGAAAAUGGCAUUCGAUGAAAUGUCAUCAUAAAAUUCUGCAAAACAUGGGCAAGUAUUGAUGUAAACCGUCAAGACUAUAUCGCAAACGUCAUUUGGCCAAUUCGUGGUUACCAGGUCGACGGUUAGUCUGGAUUACCUGCCCCUUUGUAUACAAAGAGUCAGGCACAGACGAAGUAAUGGCGGACGCGAUGGAAAUAGUUAUAAACAGCCAGUCAAUUACAGAUGCAUUGCAGAAAUAUUGUUCAGAAUUCCAAACUAAUAUAUCAGAGCUCAAACCACUACAGUUUAAAGCAGUACAAACAUUAUUAUCAAAAAAAGACUGCAUCUGUGCUCUACCCACUGGUUAUGGCAAAUCAUUAAUUUACGAAAUUUUACCUUUUAUUGUUCCAAAAUGUAUUGUGAUUGUUAUUGUGCCUUUAAAUGCCAUAAUAGAACAGCAAAUACUGAAACUCUAUGGACAAUCUUUUUCUAUGUCUAUGAGUAUAGACACUGUUGACUUAUCAAUUACCAAAUAUUUUUUCGUUCAUCCAGAGACUGUUUUAAACUCUCUUGAAGUGAACAAACUAUUUCGCUCUGUUAAAUUUCAAGAUUAUAACAAGUUUCUUGUAAUCGACGAGGCUCAUUGUGUUAUUGAAUGGGGCGGAGAAUUUAGGAAGGACUUUAAAAGAAUAUACCAACUGAAGUCUCUUGUAAGUUGCCCAAUUCUUGCUUUGUCAGCAACAAUAACAAAAGCAGGUCAAACUGAAAUUGCAAAAUGUCUGCAUUUGACUAACUAUGAAGUUGUAAGUGCUAGCCCUGCAAAUACAACAUUAAGAUGGUCGUUAUGAAUCGUCCUAGUCCAAACUCCAAAGGGAAUACCUCAUUUACACCAUAUGACUAUAUAUUUGUACCGGUUUUGCAACAACUGAAGAGUGAAAUUGAUAAUUUUGAAAUAACUAUUGUAUAUUGUAAGACAAUUAAUUGGAUUGGUUAUGGAUAUGAACUUGCAAAGCAAAUACUUGGUGAUGAAUUCUACUCAGGAAAACCAUCGGAGAAAACUGCAAGAGUCAUGAUGUACCAUUCAUCUAUGGAAGGCUCUGAAGGGAAGUUGAAGAAACAUAUUGUUGAGACGUUACAGACUGAAAGGUCUACGAUCCGACUGAUAAUUGCAUCUGUGGCUCUAGGCAUGGGUGCAGAUUUGAGGCAUGUUAAGAGGGUGAUUCAUGCUGGACCUCCUACUUCCUUAGAAACUUAUAUACAAGAGAUCGGCAGAGCAGGAAGAAGCCAUGAUGAUGCCCUGGCCAUUCUCUUCUUUAACAAAUCAGACAUUGCAUCUGAACAUAUGACCAGAGAAAUGAAGGACUAUUGUGUAAACUCAACUAUCUGCCGAAGAAGUUUAGUUAACCAGUAUUUUGGUUUUGAAACUCAGGAAGUCAAACAGUUUUCAAUUUGUUGUGAUUUGUGCAAUAAUGAACUGGGGAUAGAAUAUGAUUUUAGUAAACUGUCAGCUAACUAAAAGCAUACAUAGCUUAGUUUUCUUAAACUUCACCAUGACUCGUUAGCACAAAACUUUUUUAAUUUUUAUUACAAUUACUGUUGCUGGUCACACCAUCCCCUUAAAAUAGGGUUGGUUAGUUGGCAACAGUUUUUAUUUUUAUUUUUAGAUGAUAAAAUUGUAUUUUAUGAUUGUACUGCUUAACGAACGAAUAUUUUGUAGAAUCAUUUGAUAUCUUAUCCUCUCACCUGAUUUAUUUAAUGCCAUUUUGAAAUCUGGUGUUUUUCCUAACUGUUGGAUGGAAGGUAAGGUUUUUCCUCUCCACAAAAAAAAAUGUUAAUAAUGUAAAUAAUUACUGAGGGAUAGUUUUGAAUAGCUCACUAAACUUCUUCGGCAGAUAGUUGAGUUUUCCAAAAUAUGUACGGGCAUAUUUUUAGGCAACAAGUAGUAGAUGAUUUUAAUCAAUCUUGGUCCAAUAGUGUAUCUGCAAGUCAUUCUUAACAUUCAUAUUGCCAUUUUUAACAACAUAUAAGGUUAUAAUCUUAUUUAGACUUUGUUACAAAAAAGUAUAGUAUUUGUAUCAAAUUUAAACCAUGUUUUUUAUUUGUUUCAUAUUGCAAAGUAUUAUUUGUUCAACAUGUAGCGUGACAUUUUAUUUUUUUAAACUAUACAUCAUAAGAUUGUUAUUUUUUUUAUUGAUUUCAUUGCUAACACAUAGUUAAAUCUUGUAAUUUAUGCAUAAUGUGUCUUUGCUUUUUUGUUUAAAUAGCAGCGAGUAUAGUAUAUUUGUUUUAACUUUUUCAUUGUUAAAGCAUAAGCUUAAAUCUUGUAAAUGAAUUUUUUAAAGUAAUUUACCGGUUCUAUAUGAAUAGGACCUUCUUGAAACAUUUAAGUACAUUUAAUAUAUAUAAAAUAUUGUAUUUAACUUACCCCCUGCAGAUUUUUCCGUGGUUAAAAAAAAACCCAGUCUUGUUUGUUAGACCUGAAACAUUUAAUAUUCCUUUACUUAAAACUAUAAAUAUAUCUCUGUUCUACCAAGCAAGUCAUUUAAACAUUCUGACAAUAUAUUAUUCAUAUUUUAAACAUUUAAAGAAGUUGGUUCACAUACUUGUGAAAUUUACACUAUUAAAUUAGUUGUGGUUGUCAUAUAAUUUAGAAUUUAUGAUUCAGAGCCCUUCUAUCAAUAAAUUAACAUUAUUGGUAUUGGAAAGAAAUACCAAAAACCAAGUGAAGUUAGAAAAUAUGAAUCAAAUUUAUAAAGAUAUUGGAUACAAAUUUCAAAGUCUGGGACAAUUAUUUUUAAUAGUGCAAUUUUCACAAUUAUGAGAAUGAGCUUCUGAUAAAAUAUGGUAAUGGUAAUUAAAGACUAUUAAUCAAACAAGGCAGUAUAAAGUUAUAAUAUAAGCAGCUUUCAGUUAAAACAGAAAUAAAAAUUUAACGGGUUUAAAAACAGCCUUUAAACAAUGCAUUUUUGAGAAAAUAAUUGGGUGAACAAUGACUUCACCACUUGUGUGGGUAACUGAUUUCCUAGCUGUAUAUUGUUUUAGACAAUAUCAUCAAAUUAACUUUCAGAAUUAAAUUUUACUUGCCUUAGCUUAUUAUUAAAAGACAAAUCAGUCUGGGUUCCCACAUUGUUUCCUUUGUCUCUGACAGCGGCGUAAAAUCCACAAAGUCUUCAUUAACAGAAUUAAACAUGGUGCUGUUACAUGUACCAGAAAGAUUUAACCGCCAGGCUGCCAUCUUGCAGGACUUCCCUAUAUAAAGCAAAUGAGAUGAGUACACAGUAAUUAAGUCUGCAAUGAAACAAAGACCAUACCUACUAUAACUACAUCAAAUAAUAACCUUUAACAAUAACUGCUUUACUGCACAAAUGAACCACAGUCAACAGAUACUGGGGCCUGGCCUAGUCAUUAAGGACAUAUGUACAGCUUUUGACAUAUAGUAAUGACAGUUUUCUAAAUUCAAUUUAAUAAGCAUGAUUCAUAUGACAUUAUAUCAUACAUAAAUUAAAAAUUGAGUGCCAUGCCAGCAAAAUAAGGAAAAUAUACUAAUGUUAUCACUGUUUAAGAAUCAUUAUUUACCUGUUCUGUUUUUUCCACCAAACAUGUUGUUCAUUGCAAUUGCGCAGUUGUUCCAGAAACUGUUUUCUGACUCGCCAUCUUUUCGUAAUGUCUGACUGUAUUCUCUCAGAAAGGAUGUCUCAUCAAGGGACCAUUUGUUGUGUCUGGUUUUUUCAUCCUAGAUCAGCGAUGAAACAUGAAAAUUUGAGUGUGUAAUGGCAAAGGUGAAAAAAUGAUUGAUGGGCUUUUGCUUAAAUAGUUUAUAUGAAUGAAGAGUGGUUUAUUUGAUCUUUGAAUUAAAAUUUUAGCCCAUGUCCUAAUGCAAAGAACUUAAUAUUAAUGGCAUAAAUAAAAUAAAUAAACAACAAGA